AGUGGAUCGAAUCGAGCCGACCCGAAACAGAAGAGGGGCAAAGGGUUCGUGACCCUAUCGACCCGAGGGUCGACCCGUGACUCCCUACGCCGCCUCGCGGCUCGGCGGCUCCUCUGCACCUCGCGUCGCUCCCCAACUCCCCCUGCUAUGCUUGCCUCGGCGUGCGGUGGUGGUCGCUGCUGCUCAGUCUGGCGGAGGGACACCAUGUCCGCCUCGGCGUCGUCGUCGUCGGCGGCCGAAGAGAACAAGCAGGAGGCGAGGCCCAUUAUGCACUGCAAGGGCGUCAACGACCUCGACAAGGUUGUGCUCCAUGAGGUCCGAGGCAGCUCUGCUGAGAUACGUCAACGGUAAGGUUGUGACGCUUGGCCGCCGGUAUCCCUAUGGCUUCCACUGAUUCAACCAUCGAGAUUGUUGGGCAGUUUGCUUGUUUAGCAGUUCUACAGAUACUGCAGAUCAAUGGAGAAGUAAUGUAAGGUUUUAUUGACGGUAAAAAAGUUGUUACUUA